CGGGGGAUGCCUGCCGUCGACACGCUUGAACUUUGUUUUUCCUGUGCAUUAUUCUAGGUGAGCAAAGAUUCAGGUGUGUUGACUAACUCUCUCAUCAG